AUGGUCACAGGCAGUGGGGUCAAGUUGUUGUAUGAUGGUGAGGAUAGGAAGAGAAAUGGUGUUGGGAUCAUUUUAAAAAAAGAGUAUGUUAAGAGUGUGUUGGAGGUUAAGCGAGUGUCUGACAGGGUGAUGAGUGUGAAGUUGGAAAUUGA